rnacentral:lncRNA from 13 species
GGAUUAUGGCGAAACAACCUCCAUCCCCUACCACUCCAGUAUUUUUUACCCGGAUCAGUGAUCGGGAUCUGACUGAGAUCGAGCUACAUUCCGUGGAGUCCAUCAACGACCUGCACCGCACCCACCCAGAGCACAACCACAAAGGCAGCAGACGACCUCCCCUUCCUCCUGCUCCCUCCACCAAUGGAAACCUCCAUCUCCGGGACAGACCAGUUGUCUAUCAGACAGGGCAUCCAAUGAGAAGCCGAUGGCAGAGCACGCUCCGAGACCUGUUGAUGCCCACCUCGUUUCGAUACACCAUGGGGUGUGCAGUGACAUCACUGACGCUGUUGACGCUACUUCUUAUCUUCUAUUUCUUAGUGCAGCAGGGCAGCACUCUCCGGUCCCUAACGGAAGCAGUGAGGGAGAGACAGGCUGUGGCCCUAGAGGUCUCCCAGCUCAUCCAGGAGCUGCAGGCGCUGCGCCACAACCUCACAGCCAUCACGGGAGGAUCCUGAGGAGCAGAGGUCACGGAGAGGAACACCCUUCACCCCUGGACCCUGAAAUCCCCGUCCUAGUGGCCCCUGGACACUAAUGUAACACCAACUGUUAACUACCUGCCCCAACAUCUCCACUCAAGUCAAAUCCCUGCCCUGCACAUGGUAUUGGAACUUGGGCCCAUCCAGAAACAACCCCUACUGCCAUAUGCACAACAUAGCCCGGGUGUGCACAACAGAGCCCAGGAGUUGGAACCCAUAGAGAAUGUUUCCAUAUACUGUACUGUAUAUUUAUGAGUUGUUUGAUUUGCAAGACAAAUAGGGGAAAGAAAGACACUCAUUCAGUAAGAUUGCAGGGUAUUGAACACUUUAUAGCAUCUUUAGUGACAUCACAGCUUAAAAGACCACACUCUUCAACUGACAAUUCAUGUAUUCAUGUAUUUGAACAACUGCAUGAAGACAGAAAUGAUUCAGGUUCGAGACGUCCAUGUGAUCUGUGACUUAAACAUACUGUACAUACAAGCUACGCUGUAACUUUUAGAAGCGGUCCUCUUUUACAUGUAUGCAUGAGACAGGCGAUGUAUGAUGAAAUGUCACAACCAUUUAGUUACUGACAAAACACAGUGCAAAUUUGUUCUGACUAUCACAACUUAAACAUGUCACAAGUGGAACUGAAUUGUAUAGAAUGAAUACGCUGAGAAAGUGCCUUAGCAUGGCAACUGCCACAGUUUUCACUUUGAUACACUUGGUGGAAUUGCAAUGAUGCUACUGUAUGCUGCGCAUCAACCAAAUAAACAAAAGAGGUGAUAUUAUAUAUUGGUGAUAGA